rnacentral:rRNA from 1 species
AGAGUUUGAUCAUGGCUCAGGACUAACGCUGGCGGCGUGCCUAACACAUGCAAGUCGAACGAAGUAGCAAUACUUAGUGGCAGACGGGUGAGUAACACGUGGUCAACCUACCUCAGUGUGGGGGAUAACUAGCCGAAAGGUUAGCUAAUACCGCAUACGAUCGUCGCGAGGCAUCUCAUGACGAUGAAAGGAGCAAUCCG